UUGGGGGUAGCUCAAGUGGAAGAGCAUCUGCUCUGCAGGCAGCGGGUUACAGUUUCGAUUCCUUGUCCCCUGAC
rnacentral:tRNA from 1 species